UCCAGACUCCUACGGGAGGCAGCAGUGGGGGAUAUUGCACAAUGGGGGGAACCCUGAUGCAGCGACGCCGCGUGGGUGAAGGAGCGUUUCGGCGCGUAAAGCCCUAUCGGCAGGGAAGAAGGAGGACGGUACCUGACUAAGAAGCCCCGGCUAACUACGUGCCAGCAGCCGCGGUAAUACGUAGGGGGCAAGCGUUAUCCGGAUUUACUGGGGGUAAAGGGGGCGCAGACGGCAGCGCAAGCCAGGAGUGAAAGCCCGGGGCCCAACCCCGGGACUGCUCUUGGAACUGCGCGGCUGGAGUGCAGGAGGGGCAGGCGGAAUUCCUGGUGUAGCGGUGAAAUGCGUAGAUAUUAGGAGGAACACCAGUGGCGAAGGCGGCCUGCUGGACGACAACUGACGGUGAGGCGCGAAAGCGUGGGGAGCAAACAGGAUUAGAUACCCUGGUAC
rnacentral:rRNA from 1 species